rnacentral:rRNA from 1 species
AGCGAACGCUGGCGGCAGGCUUAACACAUGCAAGUCGAGCGGGCGUAGCAAUACGUCAGCGGCAGACGGGUGAGUAACGCGUGGGAACGUACCUUUUGGUUCGGAACAACACAGGGAAACUUGUUCUAAUACCGGAUAAGCCCUUACGGGGAAAGAUUUAUCGCCGAAAGAUCGGCCCGCUUCUGAUUAGCUUGUUGGUGAGGUAACGGCUCACCAAGGCGACGAUCAGUAGCUGGUCUGAGAGGAUGAUCAGCCACAUUGGGACUGAGACACGGCCCAAACUACUACGGGAGGCAGCAGUGGGGAAUAUUGGAAAAUGGGGGCAAACCUGAUCAAGCCAUGCCGCGUGAGUGAUGAAGGCACUAGGGUUGUAAAGCUCUUUUGUGCGGGAAGAUAAUGACGGUACCGAAAGAAUAAGCCCCGGCUAACUUCGUG